CCCAGCCGGCACCUGAUGGUCCCCAGGAGGGGCCGGGCGCCCUGCCUGCGUCAGCCGCGCGCGAGGUGCACACCUAUCCUUUCUCCAGACAUGGAUCUUUUACCCAUGGGAUCAUUACCCCAUCUCUGGGCCUCUCUGAACAAAUCUAAUUCACUGAGCAUGAAUUGAUCACUACCCACUCAACCUUUUGUGGCGCAGGAAGGAUGCUCUACCUGUGAAAAAAGCAUCCAGAAGAUCUUCUUGCAAAGGGAGGUUUGAGGAUCCCUGCAAAGAGAAUGGGUCUGGGGUGGGCUGAGACUGUAGACAGGACUCAGAGGCUGGGGCUGUUUUCACAGGGGAGGGAUUUGGUGCCAGCAGUUAAAUCCAUUGUGCCCUAUUUAGAACUUCACUCUUGUCCCAAACAUUGACAGAGUCAUCACUAUGCACCAGGGACCAUCUUAAGCUCUGAGGUCACACACACACACACACAAGGAUCCAAUAAGUGCUACCAUAGAUGUAUGGACUAAGCACUAUGAGAAAUAAGUGGUUCUGCCCCAAGAAGGGUGCUCAAAGGAGGUGACACAUGGCUAGACUUCCAAUACACAGGGGAGGCUCCCAGGGGAAGGAGCAGCAGCAAUAAGGAGAUGGGAGAGAAGAUUCUGUACCAUUCUAUGCAAAGAGAGAUGCUAUGGUUCCAUCUGGGGGAGGGGGGAAAUUUUUAAACAGCUAGGGCAGACCAUCCUAUUUGGGAUAAGAGGGGUCAGUUUUAUAUGAGAUGAGACCAGAAAGGGCUGUUGGAGCCAGAUUGUGACAGACCCUCUGAGUUGUCAGGAAUUUGGAUUCUUAAGACAAUGAGGAGCCUUGGGAUGUUUUAAAGAAAGGAAGUGAUAUAAUUAUGCCUCAGUUCAGAUAGACACCUUUGGUUAUGACCAAAGAAGAUGUUUUGAAACAGGAAGAUCAGAGGCAGAGAAACCAGUUAGGAGAUUGAUGUAAUAAUCCAGAUAACAUAUGAUGGGGGUCUGAACAGAAGCAGCUGUGGGAAUGGAGAUGAGGUUUCAACAUUUUUGAGUCAGAGUCAGCAGGAAGGAUCUUAUGAGUAAAUAAAUGAAAAAGAGCAGAGAGACCCACUUAGUCUCUUGCUUGGGUACCCAGAGAGAUGGUGACACCAUUAACGAAGCUAGGGUUCACAGGAGGAAGAGUAGGAGUUUGAGGAGAGAUAGUGAUGAGUUCAGGGGGGACAUACUGAUUUUGAGCUACUUAUGGAACAUCAAGGUAGAAAAGUCCAGGAGGCAAGGAGUUAGUUGGGUCUGGCGUUUUGGAAAGACAAGGUCAAUGAUUGAGAUUUGAAAGUCUCUAGAUCAAAGACGGGGUUGAAGCCAAAGAAGUGGAUGGGGGCAUCUAGCUAAUACAUGAUAGGGUAGGAAUUUGAACCCAGGCCUUUAGUUUACUUCAACAUAUGUUAAUUGAGCAUCUGCUAUGUUCAGUGCUUUGCUGGAGAUACAGAGUUGAAUAGAGGAUGGCCCCUGUCCUCAAAUAACAGGGAGAAAUGCAGGAAUCAGCAUGAACUAGUCUUCUGGCACCAUGUCCAAACAUGUGGCUGAAAUCUAGUUAUAUUUUGCCUGUGUCUCCAACCUGCUGGUGGAAUACAACCUCAACAACAAUAACAGCUGCAGAAGUUGCUUUCAAUUAGUAAGUCAAGGAGGGCAGGUCCACUACAGAGCCCUCACCAGCCCCUACUCUCCCCAUUCCACAUAGAUCGAACUCAACAACUCACCCUAUGAGCUUCACAUAGAUCAAGCUCAACAACUCUUGAUUGCCCUUAAACCUACACCACACUGUCUAUGAAUGAUUUGGCUUUCUUGAAGGGUAAAAUGUUACAUCGGGGUUUUAUAUCAGAAUUAUAUGCAUUUGUUUAAGAUAAACAUACCAGUCCCUCCUAUCAAAAAACCGUUUCCUGGGCAGGCACGGUGGCUCACACCUAUAAUUCCAGUAUUCUGGGAGGCCAAGGCAUGUGGAUCGCCUGAGGUCAGGAGUUCCAGACCAGCCUGGCCAACAUGGUGAAAUCCCAUCUCUACUAAAAAUACAAAAAUUAGCUGGGUAUGGUGUUGAAUGCCUGUAAUCCUAGCUACUUGGGAGGCUGAGGCAGGAGAAUCGCUUGAACCUGGGAGGCAGAGGUUGCAAUGAGCCAAGAUCGUGCCAUUGCACUCCAGCCUGGGUGACAAGAGUCAAACUCCAUCUCAAAAAAAAAAAUCCGUUUCCUUCAUAGUAAGAUAUCAACACUUAGAUCUGAGUAGAAGAAUUAAACGAAAUUUUUCUUUACCUCACCACAGUUGUGUGAUUUUACACUUUUCCUGUAUUUUCCAAAUAAAUGUGUAUUGUUUUAUACAGAAAAAUGAUGUUGAGCAUAAUAAAAAUAUUUUAAAGAUGCUUUCUUGGUAUGUUGUCUAGAGGUUUCAUUUGAUGCGUUUUCAGCAAAACACCUGCAUUUCUUUAUGGGUAAUUUAUGCAUUACCAAAAUGCCAGAGAAAGAUAUGAAAAAGUGAACAGAAAAAAAAUAGUAUUCAAUGUAAUGUAAGCCAUUGCUAAUAAGUAGAGAGCUAGAGAGAUCUUUUCAUGUUUAAUGUCUUUUUCAUUACCCAAGUACCAGCCAGGCAAACAAUCACUCCUGGUGACGACCUUUUCAGUCUUUUUUUGGUUUGCUUACAUAGUUGUGUUCCUAUCGUAGAAUUUUUAUUCGGCUUUGUGCAUUUAACAUUAUAUGUAUAUUAUGUUGUGAAAAUUUCAUUUUCUUUGUGAAUAGUAUUUUAAAUCACUAUGCUAUUUUCCAUCAAGUGUAUAUUCUAUUGUUUGUCUAGACAUUUCUUUACUCUUGAACACUCAGAUUGUUUCUUGUUUUUCCUUAUAAACAAUGCUGCAAUAAACAUCUUCAUACUUUGAUU
rnacentral:lncRNA from 1 species